rnacentral:rRNA from 1 species
CCUACGGGCGGCAGCAGUGGGGGAUAUUGCACAAUGGGGGGAACCCUGAUGCAGCGACGCCGCGUGGGUGAAGAAGCGCCUCGGCGCGUAAAGCCCUGUUAGCAGGGAAGAAAAUGACGGUACCUGAAGAAGAAGCCCCGGCUAACUACGUGCCAGCAGCCGCGGUAAUACGUAGGGGGCAAGCGUUAUCCGGAUUUACUGGGGGUAAAGGGGGCGCAGACGGCGAUGCAAGCCGGGAGGUAAAGCCCGGGGCCCAACCCCGGGACUGCUCUUGGAACUGCGUGGCUGGAGUGGAGGAGGGGCAGGCGGAAUUCGUGGUGUAGCGGUGAAAUGCGUAGAUAUCAGGAGGAACACCGGUGGCGAAGGCGGCCUGCUGGACGGCAACUGACGUUGAGGCCCGAAAGCGUGGGGAGCGAACAGGAUUAGAUACCCGAGUAGUC